rnacentral:lncRNA from 1 species
CUUGCCAUAUCUAUCUGCGAUCCAUCUAAUCAAUGUCUGUUCGGUGUGAUGCCAGAGGCGGAGAAUAUACAAGUUUUUCUGCCCGAUAAUGAACAGGUCAUAUUUUGUCAAGAUAUCGUUUCAGUCGCUAUUUCUAUUGGCGAUUUGAUUGUUGCUUGACGAUAUUUUUAUCUUCUCGAUUUUUUUUUACUGAUCGGUUAUCGUAAUGUUUCGUCCACAGUUAUUUCUUCUUUAGGUUUUAGAUCACAUGGAUAUUAAUUUAAUGGGUCCCUUUUUGGAAUAAGUUGGUUGCAGAGAUCUUGUUGUCGUUUUGGACCCUUUGGAUUUUUAGAAGCUGAAAUAAUGUUUAUGAUCAUGGAUUUGAAUUGAUUGAUGAUAUACAGCAAGAAUUCAGAUCAAUUAUUUUGUUACAGUUUUGAAAUUUCCGACAAAUGUACACAGUAAAUAAUCCUAUUCUGGAUAGAUAAUCGCAGAUCGAUUGAUUUGGGACAUAAUGUCAUGACAUUAUAGACUUAAUAUUAUCAUUAUUAUAUGAUCUUAUCUUACUUUGGAAUUCUUCUCGUCAUCUCGGCGCCGCGGUUUAAAAUAUUCGGCGGAGAAUUUUUGGUCCAAGUCAGUGGUGUUGGUAAAUUCCUCAGACUCGAUACAUCGAACACUUCGAUGAAUCUUUGAUCAGAAAUUCUCGCUUUUGCUCCGGCAAAUCUUUGGUAUUCAUCGAAUAUGGACGUUAAACACCAGCUCUGUAGCUUUCUUAAACAACCCACAACGCAUCCUGUUCGAUGCUGUUUAUAUAAUAUUCAGAUCAUCAGAUUUCAAAAUUGGUAGUUUAUUUUUUUUAAUAUUUUGUUGACUGGUGUUUCUUUAUUUUUUUUUACCUUGCCUCUUUUGCAGUGGAUCAGAAUUGGGUGAUUCCUUACAUCUGCAACAGUCAGUCGGAAGGAAAAAUAUUUUAGAUCCAUGGAAAUUAAGAUUUUUUUCUAUGAAAUUAUGGGUUAUGUUUAUACCAA